rnacentral:rRNA from 1 species
UGGUGACUAUAGCAAGGAUGUCACACCUGUUCCCAUGCCGAACACAGAAGUUAAGCUCCUUAGCGUCGAUGGUAGUCG